GAUGAACGCUGGCGGCGUGCUUAACACAUGCAAGUCGAACGGACUGCGAGGAGCUUGCUCCUCAAAGUUAGUGGCGGACGGGUGAGUAACGCGUGGGUAACCUGCCCUAUGCAGGGGGAUAACGUUUGGAAACGAACGCUAAUACCGCAUAACCUAAUUUGUUCGCAUGAACGAAUUAGCAAAGAUUUAUCGGCAUAGGAUGGACCCGCGUUAGAUUAGCUAGUUGGUGAGAUAACAGCCCACCAAGGCAACGAUCUAUAGCCGGCCUGAGAGGGUGAACGGCCACACUGGGGCUGAGACACGGCCCAGACUCCUACGGGAGGCAGCAGUGGGGAAUAUUGCACAAUGGGCGCAAGCCUGAUGCAGCGACGCCGCGUGAAGGAUGAAGGUCUUCGGAUCGUAAACUUCUAUCAGCAGGGAAGAAUACCAUGACGGUACCUGACUAAGAAGCCCCGGCUAACUACGUGCCAGCAGCCGCUGUAAUAC
rnacentral:rRNA from 1 species